rnacentral:rRNA from 1 species
UACAGAGGGCGCGAGCGUUGUUCGGAUUCACUGGGCGUAAAGGGUGCGUAGGUGGUGAGGUAAGUCGGAUGUGAAAUCUCCGGGCUCAACCCGGAAAUGGCAUUGGAAACUACCUUGCUGGAGGAUUUGAGGGGGGAUUGGAAUACUUGGUGUAGCAGUGAAAUGCGUAGAUAUCAAGUGGAACACCAGUGGCGAAGGCGAAUCCCUGGAAAAUACCUGACACUGAGGCACGAAAGCUAGGGGAGCAAACAGG